rnacentral:rRNA from 1 species
GUCGAACGAGUUCUGAUUAUUGAAAGGUGCUUGCAUCUUGAUUUAAUUUUGAACGAGUGGCGGACGGGUGAGUAACACGUGGGUAACCUGCCCUUAAGUGGGGGAUAACAUUUGGAAACAGAUGCUAAUACCGCAUAAAUCCAAGAACCGCAUGGUUCUUGGCUGAAAGAUGGCGUAAGCUAUCGCUUUUGGAUGGACCCGCGGCGUAUUAGCUAGUUGGUGAGGUAACGGCUCACCAAGGCAAUGAUACGUAGCCGAACUGAGAGGUUGAUCGGCCACAUUGGGACUGAGACACGGCCCAAACUCCUACGGGAGGCAGCAGUAGGGAAUCUUCCACAAUGGACGCAAGUCUGAUGGAGCAACGCCGCGUGAGUGAAGAAGGCUUUCGGGUCGUAAAACUCUGUUGUUGGAGAAGAAUGGUCGGCAGAGUAACUGUUGUCGGCGUGACGGUAUCCAACCAGAAAGCCACGGCUAACUACGUGCCAGCAGCCGCGGUAAUACGUAGGUGGCAAGCGUUAUCCGGAUUUAUUGGGCGUAAAGCGAGCGCARGCGGUUUUUUAAGUCUGAUGUGAAAGCCCUCGGCUUAACCGAGGAAGUGCAUCGGAAACUGGGAAACUUGAGUGCAGAAGAGGACAGUGGAACUCCAUGUGUAGCGGUGAAAUGCGUAGAUAUAUGGAAGAACACCAGUGGCGAAGGCGGCUGUCUGGUCUGUAACUGACGCUGAGGCUCGAAAGCAUGGGUAGCGAACAGGAUUAGAUACCCUGGUAGUCCAUGCCGUAAACGAUGAAUGCUAGGUGUUGGAGGGUUUCCGCCCUUCAGUGCCGCAGCUAACGCAUUAAGCAUUCCGCCUGGGGAGUACGACCGCAAGGUUGAAACUCAAAGGAAUUGACGGGGGCCCGCACAAGCGGUGGAGCAUGUGGUUUAAUUCGAAGCAACGCGAAGAACCUUACCAGGUCUUGACAUCUUUUGAUCACCUGAGAGAUCAGGUUUCCCCUUCGGGGGCAAAAUGACAGGUGGUGCAUGGUUGUCGUCAGCUCGUGUCGUGAGAUGUUGGGUUAAGUCCCGCAACGAGCGCAACCCUUAUGACUAGUUGCCAGCAUUUAGUUGGGCACUCUAGUAAGACUGCCGGUGACAAACCGGAGGAAGGUGGGGAUGACGUCAAAUCAUCAUGCCCCUUAUGACCUGGGCUACACACGUGCUACAAUGGAUGGUACAACGAGUUGCGAGACCGCGAGGUCAAGCUAAUCUCUUAAAGCCAUUCUCAGUUCGGACUGUAGGCUGCAACUCGCCUACACGAAGUCGGAAUCGCUAGUAAUCGCGGAUCAGCACGCCGCGGUGAAUACGUUCCCGGGCCUUGUACACACCGCCCGUCACACCAUGAGAGUUUGUAACACCCGAAGCCGGUGGCGUAAC